rnacentral:sRNA from 1 species
UCGUACGCACCUGAAA